CACGAAGCUGGUUCGCUCGUUGCCCGGGGCAAAUCUCCAUGGUAACACGACUGUCAACAGUCGAACUGCUGACCAAUCAGAUCACCGGAAAACGGAGUCAUCAUUCUACAGGAUCCCGACUGGGAAAAAAAGGGCCCAAAGUGCAGAUGUCAACGUCCAUUUCUUUCUCUUCUCAGGAGAUGCAGAUAAAGAUGCAUUUCAAUGCCACCAGCUCCUCCUCUGAGUAAGUGCUGUAGUUCCCCGUUCCUCCGGCGGCGUGCCUCACGAAGCCUACAGAGCCGGCCCUCAGCUCCUCAAUCUCCUCUUUUUCGUCCUCAUCCUCCCCUUCCAGCUCCUCUUCGUCUUCCAG